rnacentral:rRNA from 1 species
CCUACGGGUGGCUGCAGUGAGGAAUAUUGGUCAAUGGGCGCGAGCCUGAACCAGCCAAGUCGCGUGAGGGAGGACGGCCCUACGGGUUGUAAACCUCUUUUGCCGGGGAGCAACGGGCGCCACGUGUGGCGUCCCUGAGAGUACCCGGAGACAAAGCAUCGGCUAACUCCGUGCCAGCAGCCGCGGUAAUACGGAGGAUGCGAGCGUUAUCCGGAUUUAUUGGGUUUAAAGGGUGCGUAGGCGGGUCGUUAAGUCAGUUGUGAAAGUUUGCGGCUCAACCGUAAAAUUGCAGUUGAAACUGGCAGGCUUGAGUACAGUAGAGGUGGGCGGAAUUCGUGGUGUAGCGGUGAAAUGCUUAGAUAUCACGAAGAACUCCGAUUGCGAAGGCAGUUCACUGGACUGCAACUGACACUGAGGCUCGAAAGUGUGGGUAUCAAACAGGAUUAGAUACCCGGGUAGUC